AAGAUACCCCACUAUGCCUAGCCGUAAACUUUAAAUUACAUUCACAUCGCCAGGGAACUACGAGCAAAGCUUAAAACCCAAAGGACUUGACGGUACCCCACAUCCACCUAGAGGAGCCUGUCCUAUAAUCGAUAAUCCACGCUUAACCUCACCAUUUUUAGCCUACCAGCCUGUAUACCUCCGUCGUCAGCUUACCUCGUGAGCGAUUUUUAGUGAGCUUAAUGUUCAUACGCCAAUACGUCAGGUCAAGGUGCAGUAAAUAAAAUGGGAAGAGAUGGGCUACACUCUCUAAUAUAGAAUACACGAAAGACUACAUAUGAAAUCUAGUCAGAAGGCGGAUUUAGUAGUAAAAAGAGAUCAUAAAACUCUUUUUAACAUGGCACUGGGGUGUGUACACACCGCCCGUCACCCUCUUCAAAGCUAAAAGAUAGUAUUUAACAUAAUACAGCAAACCAGAAGAGGCAAGUCGUAAC
rnacentral:rRNA from 1 species